rnacentral:rRNA from 1 species
GAUGAACGCUGGCGGCGUGCUUAACACAUGCAAGUCGAACGGUGAAAGAGAGCUUGCUCUCUGGAUCAGUGGCGAACGGGUGAGUAACACGUGAGCAAUCUGCCCCUGACUCUGGGAUAACAGCUGGAAACAGCUGCUAAUACCGGAUACGAGUUGCGAAGGCAUCUUCAGCAGCUGGAAAGAAUUUCGGUCAGGGAUGAGCUCGCGGCCUAUCAGCUUGUUGGUGAGGUAAUGGCUCACCAAGGCGUCGACGGGUAGCCGGCCUGAGAGGGUGACCGGCCACACUGGGACUGAGACACGGCCCAGACUCCUACGGGAGGCAGCAGUGGGGAAUAUUGCACAAUGGGCGAAAGCCUGAUGCAGCAACGCCGCGUGAGGGACGACGGCCUUCGGGUUGUAAACCUUUUUUAGCAAGGAAGAAGCGAAAGUGACGGUACUUGCAGAAAAAGCGCUGGCUAACUACGUGCCAGCCGCCGCGGUAA